rnacentral:tRNA from 2 species
GGAGAGGUGGCUGAGUGGUCGAAAGCGGCAGAUUGCUAAUCUGUUGGAGCGUUUUGGCGUUCCCGAGGGUUCGAAUCCCUCCCUCUCCG